GCUACCAUGGUUUUAACGGGUAACGGGGAUUUAGGGUUCGAUUCCGGAGAGGGAGCCUGAGAAACGGCUACCACUUCUAUAGGAAGGCAGCAGGCGCGCAAAUUACCCAAUCCCGACACGGGGAGGUAGUGACAAUAAAUAACAAUACAGGGCCUUUACAGGUUUUGUAAUUGGAAUGAGUACAAUUUAAAUCUCUUAACGAGGAACAAUUGGAGGGCAAGUCUGGUGCCAGCAGCCGCGGUAAUUCCAGCUCCAAUAGCGUAUAUUAAAGUUGUUGCAGUUAAAAAGCUCGUAGUUGAAUUUUGGAUUCUGCCAGUUGGUCCAUCUUUUGAUGAGUACUGAUUGUGUGGGGUCUAUCCGCCUGGUGAUACGUAAUGUACUUUAUUGUAUGUUGCGGGUAGUCAGGACCUUUACCUUGAAAAAAUUAGAGUGUUUAAAGCAGGCUUAUGCCGGAAUACAUUAGCAUGGAAUAAUAGAAUAGGACGAUGUUUUAUUUUGUUGGUUUCUAGGACAACCGUAAUGAUUAAUAGGGAUAGUUGGGGGCAUUAGUAUUCAAUUGUCAGAGGUGAAAUUCUUGGAUUUAUUGAAGACUAACUACUGCGAAAGCAUUUGCCAAGGAUGUUUUCAUUAAUCAAGAACGAAAGUUAGGGGAUCGAAGACGAUCAGAUACCGUCGUAGUCUUAACCAUAAACUAUGCCGACUAGGGAUCGGGCGAUGUUGUUUCAAUGACUCGCUCGGCACCUUAUGGGAAAC
rnacentral:rRNA from 1 species